UGUUUUUUUGUUGUGUUGUCCUGUCGUAUCCCUAGAUCUUACACCAUACUCCCACCGUCCGGAUUACAUGUUACCGAAAUGAUAAAAAAGAAUGUAUCUAGAAUUGAAAUACACCUAGACCCAUCCAUUUUUUCGGAUGGAGGGAAUACAUGUCAAUAUGUCAUGCCUUUCUAUUCUUCAGUACCUAUUCCAUCUCUCUGUUGUAGCAUGUUUUAUAAUUAAAGCACCAUUCUUCUAUACAAGGCAUGCAAGGGGAAGAUGACUAUGUUAGAAUCUGAAGGGUUACAAACAAGGCCUUUGCAAAAGAUCCAAACGCCAGGAGAUAAUGAACCAACUCCAGUUUUUAUAGAUACUACUCCAGCAUAGAGAAACCCAACUCCCACUGAUAAUAAGCAGAUUCCAGUGGCCAAAGAACUAGUCUGCUCCAGUACAGCAAAAAAAUGUCAACUCCAUUCUAAGAAGCGUGUGCAUAUCCUCGCAUCAUGAAAUUUUAUAGCAUUCUGAUCAUAUUUUCUACAUGUUUCUGACCCAUCUCUCUUUUAGAAAAUAAGGUUAAACGAUAGAAGACUUCCUCCAUUGGGAUCGUAUUCGAGGAAAAUAUCUUGUUGGAAUUCUCUGUGCUCCAAUGCUCAUGUAAGUACCUGUUGUAUAUCACUAUAUUUUUACAUCAGCAUGUAUUUUGUUAAUCGGCGUGAAUCUAACCUUUAUCUGAUCUAAAAUUAGUUGUAGCAAAAUGUUAAAGGCGCCAAUGUUGAUUUUUGUAAGGAAAACUGCCUGGUAGUUUUGCAUACUGAGCUGCAUAAGUGUAGUAGUGUACUAUCUCAUAUCAUGCACAUUACUGAAUUGUAGUGCUUCUCUGGUUGCCCAUUCAUUCUGUGUCAAUGUUGCUUUCGUAUUACCUUACCUGGCUGAUGAUAGCUAUGCCAUAUUGUGUUAAUUUGGUGUAGGCUAGUUGCCCAAACGUUCAUUGUGUCAAUGUUGUUUUCCUAUUAUCUGACUUGGCCAAUGAUAGCAAUGCUAGUGUGUUAAUUUUGUGCAGGUUGCUGAAGAUAAGAAGAAAAACUCUGAAAACAGCAAGGCAACCCCAUUGUUUUUUUACGGUAAAUCUAGGCCAGGUAAUAUGGCAAUAACUCAUGAUUACUCUGUUUGGUUCCCGUCCUAAUUUAUGUUAUGAUGCAGUGGUCGAGACACUCUCCACUAUCAAUAAUACAAGCCUACCAAAAUCGCCAUCUGAAUCUGUUCAAUAUCCUCUGUCUCGAAUGCAAUAGAAUAAAUGUAUGUUUGUGAACCAAUUAAUGGCUGAAGCUGAUGGAAAUGGUGGAUGAAUCAGAGGUGCAGAGUCGUGCGACAGAACAACUGAUCAAUGUUUUCAGAGACAGUGUAGCAAAGCAACAAGAACUUGCCCACAUGCUUAUGGGCAUCAUCUGUGUUGAGGUUGCAGAUUGUGACGUUGUAGAUGGUUAGGUUCUGCUCAUUUAUUUGCACUGGCAUCAAUCUUUGAUUGCCCAGUGGAUGUAAUUUCAUGUAAUAUAUGCUAGAUGUGCAAUGUUAUUCCCUGUAUGCCGUACCUUUGCUUGAUCGGUUUUGGUCUUGUGCAUAAUUGCUCGUCAUAAUGGGCUCAAAUUAUCUAAUUUGGCCUAAAGACAUGUACAAACUUUAGUGGGCCCAUUAAGUUAAUGGGUCGUUACUAGGCCGAAAGUUAAUGGUCGGCCUGCCUCUUACCUCCCGGGUCGUUAACAGGUCGACAUCGAAGUGGGCAACAGGUGGGCCCAAUUUAUUUCACAGGCCGUUAACAGGCCGUUACUAAGUUUAAGCUACAUAUGGCCCAACUAUACUAUAAGUUUAGCAUGCCGAAAGAGACAGCGGGCAUGUACUCGGCCAUGAAGAGCAUGGGCCGCUAAGAGGCUGAAAGUCAGGUCGUAUUGUAAAUGGCCCAACUGUGUUGUGGGCCUUUAGCAGGCCGAAAAAGAAACCGGGUUGGUAUUGGACCAUGAAGGGCAUGGGCCGUUAAAAGGCCAAAACUAAGAUCCGACUACAAAUGGCCCAACUCAUUUAUGGUCCGUUAACAGGCCAAAAGGCACACAGGGCCGGGAAUUAGCCCAACACUUAAAUUGGUCGCUAAAAGGCCAAAACUCAGGUCCGACUACAAAUGGCCCAACUGAUUUAUGGGUCGUCAACAGGCUAAAAGUGACACCGGGCCGGAAAUUAGCCCCACACUUAAAUGGGCCGCUAAAAGGCCAAAACUCAGGUCCGAGUACAAAUGGCCCAUCAGAUUUAUGGGCCGUCAACAGGCUGAAAGACACACCGGGCCAGAAAUUAGCCCAACAUUUAAAUGGGUCACUAAAAGGCCGAAAGAUGUACAUCCUGAAAAUUGGCCCAUCCAUUGAAUGGGCCGUUAACAGGCCAAAAUCUCAUCGGGCCGAUAUUGAGCCCAAAUAUAUAGUGGGCUAUUAACGGGCUCGAACUGACGAUGGGCUGCAAUGGUGUCAAAUCUUUAACGGGCUAUUGACGGGCCGAAUUGGCACAUCUCAUAUGGGGCGUGGACUUAAAUGGACCUAACACAAGUAGGCCUUAUAUGGGUCGGCCUGCUAAUUUUUACUGGGUCGGCCUUUUUCACCAGAAUGGGCCACUGUUGGACCGUGCUACGUGUUGACCUAUCAUAGGCGCCUCCUGUCCAAUGAGUGGAUGACAUCUGUCCCAACGGUGAGCCGGCACGUGUUUCCUCCAGCCAAUGAUGAUUUUACACGUGGAAAAUCCCCAUUGGUCGGGGCUGUUAACGGGUUAUCGGAUCCAAAACCGGACCCGAUAGCUUAACGGCGUUCCGUUACGGUGGAUGCCACAUGUCGGUCACCCUUGACGAAAGCACUUCUGUAACGCGCGAUUUAUCGUCAUGGAAGUGGACACUUCCGUGAUGAUAAUUUUGGUAAUGUCAUGGAACACUUCUAUGACAGCACAGGUAUGACUAUCUUGAUUCUUUCAUAAAAUCGUCAUGGAUGUACAUGCAUGACAGAAAAUGCGACCUACUGUGUCAAACACGUAUCAUCACGGAAGUGUAUUUUUUUGUAGUGAUGCAUUGCAGGAGAUCAUUGAAGCACGCCUCACCAAACCCUCCUGACUCAUCACGGAAGAGAUUUGUGCUGCCGCCAGCACUGGAGCACAGAAUGCAACGAGAUCUAGAUUACAAACCCUAGUCGAUCAGAAGUCAAGGCUAGUCAUACGUGAAAGCCAUCCCCUUAGUCAGCGUGUGCGCACAUGAUAGAGUAGGAAACAAAAACCAUAUUAGAGAGACCAUAGGAAACCUCACGUCGAGAUAUAUUAUGGUUACUGGAGGCCAUGAAAACCUAGUCUUUGGGGAUAGGAAACAACUACCCCGUAAUAGAUUUUCGGAAAUGUUAACGCCCACACGUGUGGGCAUUCACCAUCUCGACCACACGCAUCCAUCACCGUCCAGUAUGUUCGGCAUGAAUCUUGGCACAAUCUGGUCGAAUUUCUGUGCCACGUAGGAUAAGGCGCGUGUGUGGUCUGUGACACAGUUCGCCCGCACGUUGGUUGCCCUCCCGCGGUCAGCGGUUGCCACUCGGGGGCGUACAGUGGAACUGCUAUGCGCCCGCACGCCACGCGCCGACCAUGGUUGAUGUCAAACACCUCACGCACGUCGCCCGCCUCCCCCUCACGGUUCCAUUUCCUCAUCCCCGUAGUUACUCGCACAACCCACUUCGCAUUUCAAACCAUUGGCAGAGAAGAUGAGGGGAGAAGGUGACGGCGGAGGCGGAAGAGUCGACGGUGUUCGCGGCCGUCGGUGGUGCUCGCCGGACCGGAGCGGCUUCGCCGGAGCGCCUGCAGAUUGAAGGUAAUGCUCGCUCCCACUCUCUCAAUCCUUGCCUGCAUUUUCCCCCUUCCCUCCCUGUUCGAUGCUUCGCUCGAGAUUCAUAGAGAUUCAAGCGAUUUGGCGAUGCGUAGGUGUUCCCGUCGGCGGCGGAGUCCUGUGCUUGCCGUUUUUGGUGGCACUGGGCAGUUUUGUCGCCGCCACCGCGGCGGUCUCGCCGGUGUGGUUUUGCCUGUCCGGAGACACACACUGGUUGUGACUUGGGAUUGGGUCGUUGUUUUCCGGUCUGUUAGUUGCGCAUUGCUUCGAAUUGGUAUUUGUGAUCAGUUCGGGGAGAAUUUUGAGGUUGAAUCUCAAGUCAUUAUAGUUGCCAUUGAACCCUAGAUCUAGUUUAGUUGUUUUUGAAACUACAGUAUGAAGGCAAACGUGGUAGCUUGAGUAACUAUCAUGACUGUAUGGCAACUAACUUCCUGAAUGACUGUGAUAGUUGCCACAAACAUGCUUUUCCAUGCGGCAACUAAUUUAUUGAAUGACUAUGAUAGUUGCCACAAACAAGCUUUCCCGGCAACUAAUUUUAUUGAAUGACUGUGACAGUUGCCACAAACAUGCUUUUCCAUGUGGCAACUAAUUUCCUGAAUUAUUGUGAUAGUAGCCAUAAACAUGCUUCUCAUUGUGGCAACUAAUUUUCCUGAAUGAUUGUGAUAGUUGCAACACUAUAUGAAUGGUAAAGUGUAGUUAAUCGAUAGUCACUGCAGUUUCAGCAACCAAUUUGCACUGGAUGGCAACUAAUCUGCACAUCAACUGUGUCUGUUGCCACAUGGAUAGUAUAUUCUUGUGGUAAAUAGAAUGUGAACACACCGUGUCUGUUGCCAUAUUUGUAAACAGGAUAAUGUGGUAAAUUGGCUGCAUAACAUGGCAACCAAUUUGCAAAUCAAUUGUGUCAGAUGCCAUACAUAUGCUUUCCAUGUGGCAAGUAUUUUUUGUCUGACCACAGCAUGUCUGUUGCCACGUUACAGUCAGUAUAAUGUGGCAAAUUAAUUAUACGGCAGAUGCAAUUUUCGUGUGUUGCCAUGAUGACUUGCGAUAUCUGAACACACUGUGGCAAUUUCCUGGUUCUUCAUUAGAUGUUCUUCAUCGCUUUUUUCUGUAUUAUGUGUUGCAUUUUAACAUGGCAAUUUCAACCUAGCACAUUUUUAUCGCUGAACACAUGGCAAUUCAUUGGUGUAUUUAGGACAGGGUGUGAGCUGCCACAUCUUAGGUUUUGUGCAGUUGAGGAUUCGGUGACUUUUCAAUAAGUACUAUCUUGUGCUAACAUGGCAACUUCAACAUUUUUGUUUUCAAAUGCAUUUACGAUAUGUACACUUUAUUUGAAAUGUAACCAAUGUGCUUAAUUGCCACAUUUAUGUUUUCGAUAAUCAUAGGGGGGUGCGUGCGUGUUCGUGUGAUAUUUUGCAUUCACUAGUUGACAUUUUCUGUUAUGUGGCAACUUCUUACUUCCUGCAUUCCGUUUUCAUUUUCCACCGUGACAAUUUGGUCUAUUCCUACUCAGCAGAAUGGCUCGCGUUCAUCAUCAAAACGAUGAUGAUGAUUUCAUGGAUCCACCACAGCAGAAUAGGGCAACUGGACGUAGAAAAGAGGGCGAUGAGGUAACUGUCCACACACCCCUCCUCCUCCUGCAUAUGUUAUUGGUUGCCACAUCAAGUUUUGCAGUCGUCUGUCAUGAACUAAAAUUUCAUGACAGUGCAAAACAUGGCAACAACUGAUCACUUUUUGUCUAUUUUUCGCAGAAGAAGAAACGUACUCGCAACAGAGCCUCCCAAGAACGACUGACUACAUUGACUGACAGAUUAACUGACGAUCAAAAGGGAGUUGCUGCUGAGAUGGGUAUGCAGGCUCUGAUGAAUGUCCGGUGCACGAAUCUUGUCAAUCCUGUAUGUGACUGGCUUGGUGAGAUUUACGACCCCGCAUCCAGGGAAUUUGUGAUUCCGGGACAUGGAAGACUACCGUUGAACAAGGAAUCCGUGUUCUGCACUUUGGGUGUGCCUCGUGGACAUAUCAAAGUCCCGUACGAGGUCAAUAACGAGAUCGAGGAAGCGCUAUUCCCCCGUUUGUUUCCUGGGUUGGAAUCCAUGCCGAACACGUCUGUACUGGCAGAUUCGCUGCAGGCCAUGACAACCCAUGGAGAUGUUUUUAAGAUGAAGCUACUCAUGUACCUCAUCUCAGUUGUUUUCGCGCCGACCACUUCUCUUCACCCAAGCAACAAAUGCUUCCCCGUCCUGGUGAGUGAUCCAUCUUUACUACUUUAUUUUCCUUCAAUCUUUUUGGCUCCGAUGUCAUGUGUAAAGCUAGUCACUGCUAGUGUUUUUUGAUGUUUUUUUCAUUCGAUUUCUGAUGCGGCAACUCGUUGUCCUGAAAUUUUGUGCGGUGCAGGCAAAACUGAAAGAUGUGAAGAACAUGAAUUGGUGUAAGUUUAUAGCCGACUUCCUGCACGAUGCAUUCUCAAGCAAGAUGUACCAAAAGGGUUGUCGACUGCAUUUAAUGGUAUUUUUUUAUCAGUCUUUUUUGUUAACACUCUUUUUUGACACCCUUUUAUUCAUGCAUGGCAACCUCAUCAUAACAAGAUGGCAACUGCCAUAAUGACAAUACGGCAGCUGACAUAAUGACAAUAUGGCAACUAUCAUCAUACUAUGAUGGCAGCUGCCAUCAUGACAAUAUGGCAACUGCCUUCAUACUAUGAUGGCAACUUCUUCUGUUUUCUCUUUUUUCAUGCACUUCAACUUGAUUAUCAUGGGAACAUAGGUUAUCAUGUUUUUUCCUGCAAAGUACCAUGAUGGCAACUGAUAUUUCUUUCUUUUUAAAAUUGUUGUACAUCAGCUCAUGUACGUCGACUGUCUUGAUCUGUCCAUCGUGGAUUUCACUGGGACAGGAGGCCCGCCGCCUACACACAAGUUUGUUGUUUCUGCGUGGACUAUCAAUGCUGUCAAGGUUGUGCUUGCUGCAGACAGGGUAACUGAUACCAAAUAUAGAAAACUGCAGGUUAAUUCUGGUUUCUUUCUCUACACGGCAUGCUUACAAAUUUGACAUGCGGCAACCGUUUGUGGUUCACAAGAGAUGACUACCUUUGUUAGCCAUGGCUGUCUGCGCAUGGUAUCCAUGUCUCACUCCACAUGGCAACUCUGUCGUUCGUGCUGAAACUUACAUUCGCGUCUUCUUUUUUUGUUCCAUUUUUGCAACACAUGAACUGCUAGUCAGUGUUCAUCGUUCUCUCUCUUACAUCCUAGCUAUUUUUUUUGUUUUUUCCAGCUGAUGGCCAAGCAUGCUAUAGACUACAGUGUGUUUGGGGGCCUCAAAACUUUGGAAAGUGGAUGGACGUGCACUCAGCUCCGUCUUGCCCUACUGAGGUAAUCAAAAGAUCUACAUCUAUGGUUGCCUUGGAUUAUUUUUUAUGUCGCGCAAGUGAUUAAUAUGGGUGGUUAUUGAUGCUUCUUGUUUCGUGCACAGGCGAGGGCACCUGUUGAGCAUCUAAUUGGGCAGUUUGCAUCCGGAAUGACCGGCUUGCUCGGUAAGUUGGUUGAGGGGUGGACGUCCCUCAGUGGCUCUGACAGCGACACGGUUGCGAGGCAGUUCACUUCAUUUGUCCCAGAACGGACACAUUGGCCAACUGGUUGCCGUGGCCGAUAUGACUACAACAGUUCCCAAGAGCUUGCUGACACACAAGAUGAACUAGAUGGAGACGCUAGUCUCAGCAAGGAUGACGAUGAUGACAUGGAGAACGUGAAACAGGACACCGAUGAUGAUGAACAUGCUGAAGUUCGUGCAGGUGGUAACAAGGGGAAGGAUGCACCAGAUGCCCCCCCCCCCACCGGAGAAAGUCAAAGAACAUACGGCUGCGAGAGGCGAGGGGGUGUUGCCAUCAAAGAGGGGGAGGGCUCCAGAGGAUGUUGGGCAGGGUUCUCCUGACAAGAGGUCUAGGACCGAUCCCGUAGCUGCUAGGAGGAGGUUCGACUUUAAUUUUAAUUUUUUUGCUUUUUUCUAUAUUUUUUGGAACAAAAUGAUCCCUUUUAGCACUUGAUUUUACUAAGCGUGGCAACGAGUUUGCUGACUGACAGUUGCCACCUUUUUUUCCUCCAUCUUAUACGUGUAGUGAGGCAACAGCUGGUGGACGAGCAGUUAUGAAGAAACAGGCACCAACGCCAACCCGUGCUUCUGCUCGAUUGAACAAAGGUGCCCCCAUUGCUGGUGACACCCCUUCCACCAGGUCUUCUCCUUGUACGACGACGUCCAACACCGGGGAUCCUAUCGUGUUGCCAGACCUGAGAAAGCCAGUCAAGAAGUAGGUUUUCCAUGUGCUUUCAUUGACAUAGUGCUAUAUUUUUUGAUUUUUCAAUGCAUCCGUUCAGCUUGUCACAUGGGCUUCUAUCAUCAUCCCCCAUAUGGCAACUGCUGUUUUUCAAAAUGAUUUUCCUUCCCUUUUAUGAGUGCAUGGCAACUCCUACUUGUUUUUACAUGGCAACUGCUAUCUAGGGCAAAUGGCAACUCUUACUGUACCUACAUGGCAACUGCCAUCUUUUCCAUUGGCUUUGUGUGCUCAUUCCAUACCUAGUUUUGAAAUUGCAUUACUGGCAGAUCAGACAUUUUUAGCAUUCUUCAAGUUGGCCAACUGCUAACUAUGCCACAUGGCAACUCAUAUACCCCUUACAUGGCAACUACCAGCUUUUCCACUUAUUUUUCAUUUUUUUAGAUUUCUACCAUGGCAAAUGUUCUUUGUUCAUUUUUAAUACCUUUUUCAUGUGCUUUCAUUUUGCAGGACGAAGAAGACUACUACACGCGAGGCCAAGCAUAUCGGUAGGGACCCACUCGAACGCCUUCAUUCAAAGUUGUUAACAGGGGGCAACUCAGAUGUUCAUGAGGCGCCAGGCGACAAAACUGCUGCUGCACCACCAAUUGUUCCCACUAACUCUAACGCAAAUGGCCGACCAUCUCCGACGGUUGCAGAUGUGGAGGUUAGAACAACAGGCAUCCGUACAUCGAGGAGUGACGAGUCAGUAUCUGCCAGGACAGCUGAAAUAUUGCCAACUCUUCUGGCAAUGAAGGAUGCUGCUGUGAGCCAUGCCACCCCAUCAGCAAGCGUUGAAGUGGACGCUCCCGAGACCAACCUAAGCAAGGAAGAUUCCCGCUCAUCUGACACUGAUUCCAAGCGCGUGCGUGGUGGUACUCAUGUGCCCACGACAGAAGUGGCUGAGGCGGCAGUUCAUAAUGAUAUGCCAUCUAUAGGUGAGAGUCUUGGCACAACAGCUCCAGCUCCUGUUGGUGCAGAUACUGCUAAGGUGACUGUUUCGCGUGUUGGUCUUCCACCUAGGCGUCGUAGCCCCCGCAAGCAAUCAACAGACAUACCCAAUGCACCAGUUGUAGCUAGGAGCAGUAGAGAGGAGUCUGGUUAUGUUCCUGCGUCCACAUUGUUCCCGCCAGUUGCCAAAAGCAAUGUGAUGGAGAAACCGGAAGACCAGAGCACAACUGAUGCAGGCGCACUUCCAGGCUCCCAGUCAAUGUGGGUGUCCCCAAUAGCCCAAACGAGAAGAUUGUCAAGAAAGCUGCGGCUGACACCGCUGACAACACGCCCCGCCCUACAAAUAAGCCCGAUCAUUCUGUUGCGGCCGAUUCAGAUAUGUUUGUUGAUCUUUCACCCUUGGAUUCUGCCCCGCAAGUUGUUCGUGGUCCGGCCAGUAGGCAUGAGAGGCACCCAAUGGCCUUCACCCCACCGAGCUUCAGCCUCGGCAUCAGUCAAGAUCAAACAGUGGUGCAAGAUCCUAUGCCAGUUGCCUUUGCUUUCCUGGGAGGCAUGCCCGCAAUGAUGGCGCAGCCAAUGGUCGAGGGCAGGAAGGUUGUCAAGUUCGUAGAGCCGAUAGUCCAAGGUACAUUUCUCAUGUGCUUAUCAUUUUCUUGUAUACAUCUUUAUAGUUUGACUUUUGUCCCAAUCAUAUUUUUUUGGGGUUCUCACUUGUGAUGGCAACUGUUAUGUGAUGACAUGGCAACUGGAUCUGAUGCAACAUGUCACCUACAUUUUUUGUUGCCAUGCUACAUUUUACAUUCGGCAACCACAUGGCAACUGAAGUUGAUUCAACAUGGCAACUGUAGUUGUUGCCACAUGGCAACUACAGUGCAAUACACAUGGCAACUGGAUUUGAUGCACCUUGUCACCUGCAUUUUCUGUUUUCCUUGCUGCAUUCUUCCAUUCGGCAAUCACAUGGCAAGUGGAGUUGACACAACACGGCAAUUGUAGUGGUUGUGACAUGGCAACUACAGUGCACCACACAUGGCAACUGGAUUUGCCUCCACAUGGCAACUCACUGCUUUUUGUACCUACAUUUCACAUCAUGCACCCUAUCUUCUCACAAUCCAUCUGUUUUUGAUUUCCAGGUAUCCUAAUCCACUUUUUGAUCCCUGUAGGCACCCCUGAGGAUAUUUCACCGUCACUUGAUGAAGCUUACCGCGGGAUCGAGGAGGCAGCAUUGCAGAGGAGGUCCUCACGAGGUCAGGGGCAAUCAAGUUCCAACGUGCCUGCAGAUACGGUAUCUGAGGAUACCAUUAGGAGUGCCACCCCUGGUUCUGUGAGGCAGCAGAGGGUAGUUCACCCACCUCCCGCGAAAGACUAUGAGCCCGAAUUCAGGGCCACAAAGGAACUGACCCAGCUGUACGAUAUUGUCAAGCGAUUUGGAAAUGUGAGGGCCAGCAACAAGCACAUGAAGGAGCUGAAAGCGUAAAUGACCACACCACACAAUCUCUCAUUUUGCUUUGCUCUUUUUUUACCAUUCAUUUUCUUCGUACUUUCUAUACAUGAUCCGCUUAUGUUUUAGUUCUUUUUAUUAUUUUUACUUAGUAGGCAUGAUUCUUUCGUGUUACAUCAUUUUCAUACAGCUCAUGUUUGGACAGAACCAAGGUCAUUCAAUGUGAAGUGACGUACGUCGACCUGGGUGAUCUUGCCGAGUCCGUGAGGCCAAAUGGUAAAAUGUCGACGAAUGUAGUUGCAUGCGGGAUUUACUAUAUCAACAAUCAUAUGGAUGUGUGUGCUGACAAAACAAUCAUGCAUUAUAGUGUGACCUGCAAAAUAUGGGACGGUGACUUCCACCACAAAAUCAUGAGGAAGAAUUUUGCUCAAAUGAUUUCAAGCUCACAUUGAAGAAAUAUGUGAGUUCUCCUCCCCCUGUUUGCACUUUUUUUCCACAUGGUAUGGUUUUUUGCCAUCAUCUGCACUCUGUUUAUGUGGCAGAUGUUUCAUGUGUCAUCAGCUACCGUGCAAACUGACUUUUUGAUUUUUGUCGUCCCGUGCAAACUAUGUGGCAACUUCAAAGUAAAAUACAUGGCAAAUUUUGUUCAUACAUGGACGACAACUUUCUUUAAACUACCCCCACCAUAACUAAACAUUCUAUGUGAUUCUACUUUUUUUGUCCCUUUGUUGUUCUUCAUGUGAACUCUGCUUCUCAUUUCCUUCACUUUUACGUGCAGGUCAUGUUCCCCAUGUUCCAGGAGCUUGCACCACACGACCCACACGACAAGUGUGGUCACCACUAUGCGAUCUGUUUUGACCUGAAGAACCAACGCUUUGAGGUGCUUGAUUCAAUGCAUUCGGCAGCUGAUGCAGACCUUACUUCGCAUGCUGAAUUCUUCAUCAACAACGUCAAAGAUACAUGGAACCGUCACUACGAAAACUCAAAGGUCCAGAUCAGACAUUUCCCGAUUGAGUACGUGGCAACCACGAAUCAAGGGAACACGUAAUUUCCUACCCCCUCCUUCAUGUUGUUACAUCUGAAUUGAAGUUUUUCAUUGCUAUGUCUAUCCUUUUUGCGAGUUCACCUGACUCUUUUUCUUAUGCAGGACGGACUGUGGCUUUCACACGUUGGAAUACUUUGCAAAGUGGGAAGGUAGACUUGUUCCCGCUGUCACAGCUGCAACGGUCGUUGAGCUCCGGAAAAUUUACACAUGGAACUGGUUGACGAAUGAAGAUUUCAACAAGCGGUCCAGAGCAUGCGAGUUCAUGGAGGAAGCUGUCAAGAAAGUCAUCAAGAAGUACAAGUGAUCACGUGGCGUUACACAGCGGAUGCAUACCUUACAUUCUGUUGCUGAGGAAUGUAAGGUACUAUCUUUUGUUUCUUUGUCAAAACUAUGUUCGGGUGCUAUGUUACGAGUGCAACCCCGCGUAGCCUAGUAUGUAGCGGUGGUGUGUGAGCGACAUUUGAAUAUUUUCUGUAAUAUAUGUGUGGAUGUGAACCUAUUUUAGGCGCGACAGCAGAUACAUUUUAUGUUUAUCAUUAUUAUUAUGGUUUCAUCGUUUGUACCAAUAGUUUGCUGCUUCUAAUGCGUCUACGAUGUUUUAAAACAUGGCAAAAUGUAGUUCAUCAGGUAUGGUUAGUGAAAGUCAUCGUUGUUUUUCAUUUGGCGAUGCAGAGUUCAUUACAAAUACCAUGACAUAUUGCAGUACAGCUAACAUGGCAGAUCCAGCAUAAGCAACAUGGCAGAUCCAGUAUAAUUAACAUGGCAGAUCCAAUACAAUUAACAUGGCAGAUCCAAUACAAAAUAGCAUGGCAUAUUUUUAGUAUAAAAUAUCAUGGCAGAUUAACUAUAUAUAACAUGGCAAAUUAAGUACCCAUAACAUGGCAACUGCAUUUAUGCAUUCAACGUAUUUUCAUUCAACUUCUGAUGCCCCUCAAGAGUCAUUCUCCCAAUUUAACAAAAAAUUCACAACAUCUAGGGUAGAAAACAAAAUGUCCACAAGGACCAUGUCAUAGCGCCCCAAUUUUGCUUAUGGAUUGCCCGUUCCUUUCUUCGUUUUCUUGUGUUUUGCUUGAAUCUCCAAUCCCAAUUUGUACCUUAUCUCUCUUGGACGACCCUUUGUGAUGGAACGGGGCGGGUCCCUGACCUGGGUUUGUGUGCUUGCUGUUCCAGAUCCUAUCUCCGAGUUUUCAGAUGAUGGCCCCGUGGAUGAAGGCACACUCGAUGUGCGGGGGAAACGGUGUAAGGCUUCCUCGGCUCUCCUCUUCUUGAUCUCAUCAAGCUCUCUUUUCAGGGCCUUCCUGUGUUUUUCUGCGACUCUCGCUGUCUCAUCACUCUUGCACGCUUCAUCAAUUAGCAACAACGUGCCUCACGGCUUCCAUGGUUGACUCAGGUCUCUCGUCAUGCACAGCCAGAACUGUGUUUAUUGUCUGUGGUGCCAACGUGUCGUCAGUGUCCCAAGUCCAUCGCCGCCUUAUGAAAUGGCGGGGCAUCCGUGUCACAGCGUUCAUGUCCAUUACUUUUAGUAUGUGACAGCACACAAUGCCAUCCCGUUCAAACUUGCAGCAUUGGCAGUAGUAUUCGCCCUGGCCGAUCGAGGCUUUCACGAACUAGUUCCUUCCUUUCUCCGGGUCUUCAGGUUCUGAAUCUGACAUGCCCAAAAUAGAACACACCUUGAAUGUAUGUUUGUCCACCUGGAAAGCCGUGAACAUGUUGGCACGCUUUAUUUCUUCCUAGAAUCUGCAAGUUUUGUGUGUUUUUUGUUAAACUAUCGUGCGCUCUUUUUUUGUAGCACCUUAUGUUGUCAUGGAAAUAGAAAUACAUUUUGUUUGAACAUGGCAAACAUAGUACAUUGAACAUGGCAAAUAUAGCACCUUGAACAUGGCAACUAUAGUACAUUAGACAUGGCAACUGCAGUACAGUAGACAUGGCAACUGUAGCACAGUAAAUAUGGCAACUGCAGUACACUAGACAUGGCAACUGCAGUACACUAGAAAUGACAAUUAUAGUACAUUCUCAACUGUACAUCAUUCAUUUCCACACCAACAUUCCCAAUGGAAGCACAUUGCAUAAAACAUGGCAACUGCAUUUUAUUAAACAUGGCAUCUACAGUUGAGUAAACAUGGCAAUUGCAUUUCAGCAAACAUGGCAGUUGCAUUUUAGUAAACUUGGCAGUUGCAUUUCAGCAUAUGUGGCGACAACAUAACAUUUUCAAUUGACAUUGGCAUUUGCAUACCAACAUGCUCAAUGGAAGUACAUUUCAUUACACAUGGCAACUGCAUUCCAUUGAACAUGGAAAAUGCAUCCAAGCAAGCAUGGCAAACAGAAUUUUCAUUGAACAUGGCAACUGCAGCUGAGUAAGCAUGGCAAACAGUAUUUCAUUAAACAUGGCAACCACAUAUCAUGGAAACUGCAUUGCAUUCUAUAUGGCACCUACUGCCUUCGUGCUUUGCGCAAAUAAGACUGUAACGCAACUGACUUACUUGUUAAAGAUCUUGUUGGUGUAUAUCUUGCUCAUUUGCCUCUCCAUCGGUAAAUACGUUAGCAAUUUUGUCUGCUUUAGCGCAGUGUUCGCUUUUUGCUGUAGCUCAGAUCCCAGUAUUUUUUGUUGCAAAGUUGUGUACUGCUUGGCAAACUGUAGCAAUGAGUUGCCAGGGCUCACGUACCGCUUCAAAACAGCAUUGAACCCCUCGCUGCGCUGCGUAGUCUGCAGAAAUGGGAAGAAGCACUGCAUGAAGUAGGCCGGCACCCAGUACAUUCGCUUCUCCCACAGGCUAGCAAGAGUCUCGUUGUCUUGUACUUGAUAUGUUUCAAUCAUGGCCAUCCAGCUCCUUUCAAACUCCUCCACCGUCAAGCUGUGGUCCACGCACAUCUCGAAUGCCUUGUGCAGCUUUGGACGGUCAGCAAAGAAUGGUCCUAGCAUUUCCUCAGCCUUCUUUUAUAAUGUGCCACCUGCAGUGCCUAUGCACUGCCAACGGAAAGACCUCCUCUAUGCAUGCACGCAUGCUAAAAUCCUGGUAUGUUAUUAUGUUCAUCGGAGCAAGUCCAUCCAUGCACUCCAAGAAGGUCUUAAACAGACAAACGUACCCAUCUGUGUCUUCAUUCCGAACGAGCCCGCAGCCGAACUGCAGCGACUGAUUGUGGUUAUUUAUUCCUAUGAAUGGAGCGCAUGGCAUCUUGUACAUAUUAGUCAGAUAUGUCGCGUCGAAUGAAAUGCAAUCUCGGAAAUGUUUGUAGGCUCUCCUUGCAGCACCAUCCACCCAAUACAUGUUCCUGACCCGGUCCUCAUCGUCCAACCUUAUCCUGUAGAAGAAAUCUGGAUCUUCCUUCGCUUUCUCAUCAAAGUAGGCCAUUGUGGCCUCUAUGUCAGCCAACUUGCUCUCUCUAUGGUACUUUGCCUUUAGGUUUGUGACGUCGGCUGGUAUGUAGGGCAUGCUACUCAAAGUCCCCUUUUUGUUGUGGAUGAGUGAUAGUAUCUGGACCAUUCUUGAUGGACCGACGUUACAAUCAUGUAGCAGCUUUAUGAAUUUCCUUUCGAGGGGGGUGAAUCCUUUGUGGGCGGUCAGAAAUUUGACCAGGUCGAACUUCUUUAUGAGUUUGUGGUUGUGCUCGUCAAAAUAUUCAGUGACCACAUACUGUGUUCCAUCUACGUUUAGCUUACACCGGACAAGGCAUCCCAUCUUGAGAAUGAUACCUCUCUUUCGUUCCGGAACGACAGGCGCAACACCUUUCUCCUUCUUGUUCCUUCGUGCCUUGUGGCACCUCAUCUCAACUCUGUUGUACUCAUUAGUUUUCUUAAAUUUCCUAUGAUAUUCGGUGUUGACCGCAAACCCAUGGAACUUUGCAUAUGUCUGGUAGAAUUCCUUUGCUUCUUCAAACGAUUCAAAUCUCUGCCCAACAUACGGUGGCUGAGGUACCAUGAUCUCUGAUUGCCCAUCAUCUUCAUCCCCUUGUGCUUCGUCAUCAGUUUCAUCAUUCACUUCAGUAUCGGCGGCAGUUUCAUAUACUUGAGUCUUGUCAGUGCUUGUGUUCAAAGGGGUGCCUGUCGGCAUUGCUGGAAUGAUUGCCAUUUACGACUCUGAUUCGGCAUUGUUUGCGGCAUGAUUGUCUGCUGGCUGGUGGAACGUGUCUUCCGUGCGCUCAGAGCUCCCCGCAGUAGAUGUCCCCGCGCCGCUGUUCACUGUAGUUGUAGGCCCUGUAAUUGAAAAACAGGUACGAGAGUAAGAUUUCGCUUGAAUAACAUGUUUAUCGCAAUGGAUCACAUCAACUUCGAGUGAUUUGGCAUGACAUUAUUCAAACAGAAAGCCGUGAGUCUGUGUGUGGACAUGCAUGGCAACUGAAGUUGUCCAGUCAUGCCAGCUACAGUCCAACAAACAUGGCAACUAUUGUUUGCCAAUGCACGACAGCCAGCUCCUUUUUAGUACAAAAACUUGGAUUCUAUAUGCAUGGCAGCUGCAUUCCUCCAUACAUGGCAAAUACUACUACUAAUACAUGGCAACCACUGUGUUCUAUCAUCAAAACUUUUGCAUUCUAGGCUUGAUCUCACUAGGCAAAUGCGAUCAACCAUUAGUGCUGCACACAUGCUUUUAGCAGUUGGCAAAUUUCCGAAGACAAUAUAUGACUCAUUGCGCACAACCGCUUUGUUAGUGUUUUAUGCUUGAUUUUGUCCACCAUCACUGCUACAAACCUUCUCUUUCUUCAUGUGCUAUUUUUUGCCAGAAAAACAAAUGUAGUGCUUUUUUUGUGGUUCAAUUUUUUCCUUACCUUGUUGUGCUGCAUGUGCCCAUCUUGUGUGGUCUGUCACACCAAAUUGACGUGCUCUAUCUGCAAUCUGUGAAGCUUGCCACGAGACGUUUGCCGGGGUACCACCACCGUAAUAACCUGCAAGCAUCGUAGUAGUUGGUCAAUACAUGGCAACUGCAGUUUGUGCUGGCAUGGCAACUGCAGUUGUCCUGGCAUGGCAAUUGCAGUUGUCCUUCCAUGGCAACUACAGUUGUCCAGGGAUGACAACUGCAGUUAUUUAUCCACGGCAAUUGCAGUUGUCCAGUCAUGGCAACUACAGUUGUUAACUAUGCUCCUUCUGCUGAUUCACCGUCCGUAACUUCACUUUUUUAUGGACUCACCUGUGUAUGACGUCGAUGGCAGGUACAUGGGUGCUGCCUGACGCCACGUGCUGCAUGAAGGCUCUGCAUUUUCACCCGUCAUAACUCGUGAGUCUUUUUGCCAACUUUUGCAAGUUUAUUUUUCAUGUCCAGACCAGUAUGUGUUCUUUUUCGUAUGCGUUACCUUGAUUAGCCAUAUUAGCUAGUUGAAGUUGGUUGUCCGUAUAUUUCUUAGUGUUAGCGCCCUGUGACUGAACUUGCCACGGAGGCCCCCUGAGUGUGUUUUGGUCAUAAGAACCUGCGAAAAAAUGACAGUGUACGACAUAUGUAGACUGUCAUCUUCAUCGUUGCGAACAUGGCAACUGUUCUUUUCUGUUGUUAUCACGCAUCAUACCAAUUCCUGCAUACUGUUCUAGUAGUGGCAGCAAUGGCCCUGCAGAAAUGAGCUGACUGUACUCUGAUGCAUCCCAAGGGGGCGUUUCUGGCCUUUGAGAACCCCAAGUAUCAGCGCCAUCUUCGUGAUUCAUUCUUUCCGCGUCUCGCUUCUUCCAAUGUGUUCUCAAUCACCGCAUAAACAAGAAUGCGUCAACAAUCCACAAGAAUUGUAUUCUUCUGCUACUUGCACAUAGAAGAUAACACGUCAGUGUUAUCACAUUUUGAUGCGUAGGCAACCAACACAUCGCGGCAAGUAGGACAUGCACAUGGACACUCUUUUUUCUAUAAAAAAUGGGUGCUAGCUAUCCGUUCGAUUAGAUGGCAACAGGCACUACAAUAAGAUGGCAAGCAAUAAGUUGACAUGGUGGCAGUUGACGACGAUGAUAGGUGGCAACUGACGUUAGACACCAGUUGCAAUUAAUUUUCACACACCCCCCCCAUUAUUCCAAAUUUCUCAAUUUUCUCUACCUUUUUAUGGAUUCCUACACAUCCAUUCAUCUACCAACUAUGUGCAUCAAUCUAGUGAGAACUUACGGUUAUCUCUAACGUAGUACAUGGCAGAUCUAGUGUAUUCUGCUUGGCAACUGCGAAGACACACAACCCAUGUAGUGUAUUACCCCUGUAGGAUUGAUCUAGUUGCCAACCUCGUCGGUAAUUUUGCAAUUUUAUGUGCCACGUAGAAGGAUCAGAAGCAGUAGGGAGAUCGGGAGAUUCACCUUCUUUUAGCAGGUCGUCUUUGGAGGGCGUUGUUGGAUUUGGGGUGGGGGGACGGGAUGGGGGUGGGGGUGGGGGUGUGGUUUGCGGUGGGAAGGGCCUACGGAUCUGCUCUGGUUGCCAUGGCAAUCAGAGAAGGCCGGCGAUGGAGGUAGGGGUUCGGGAGGUGGGAGAAGAGGCCGGGCGGCAGUCGGGAUUCGGGAGGUGGGAGAAGAGGCCGGGACGGCUGGAUCGUGCGGGCUGCUGGGUCCUCUAGCCCGCACGUCCAGACGGUGUUGCCACACACCGGACGUGCGGGCCGUGCCAUUGCGCGCGCGGACGCGGUCGUGCGGGUUGGUUGCUGUCCAUGCCACACGAGGCGUGCGGGCGGAUUCCUGCCCACCCUACACGUGUGGCAGUUAUCGGGACCCUAGAUUUUUAGGCUACCCCUACGAAUUGCGAAACUGUUGUACCUUGGUUGAUUGAGAAUUGGUUAUUUCUAUGCAAGACGAAGACCAUCUAAAAGACCAACCAAUAUGAACUUGCGUUCAUGAUUUUAUCAAAAACCCAACUCAAGAGUUGUGGGCCGAGGCAUUCUUGUCGGCGAAAUGGGGAUUAACAUUGUUGUGUCAAAUUGCCGGCAAAAUGCAUAUCACAUGCGCAAACGGUUCUAUUUGGGAUUUCAAUAUAAAUAUGAUGUCAUAUUUUUAGGGCUAAAAAUAUGACGCCUCAGAUAUGUCGGAUCCCGAUCGCAUCCAUAGCAAUCAAUAGUUGCAGCUUGGCAAUUUUUCUGUUGAUUCUUUACGCUACAUGACAACACAGAACAUGACAAAAUCCUUACACACAAGCAUGGUAAUUUUAUCUGUUUUCGCAUGGCAAAUCUGAUUAUCAGCUUUUGUAAACAUUCUCAUUUAUUUAUGGUUUUGUUUGAUUUCUUAAACUUGUUUUAACAAAAACAAAAACAAAAACACUUUUAAAAUACAAUUUAUGAAAUAAAGAAAAAAACUAAGGUUAUUGGGCUGUGGGCGCCCGGUAGGCGUGGACCUUUUACUAUUUGACGCUCGGGGGUGAUCAGCAUUAACCGCCUGAGACCGUGUGCGCGUAAAUCUUAAGCAGCGCUCCGCUUACAUGCCAAGCUAAAAAAACACCUCACGCAACACAAUAUAAUCCCCUCCCAAAUAGGGAGCAACCCGGAAAAACGCGAACCGACUCUAGCUGAAGCAGCUCUCCUCGCCAUCGAUCCUUCUCGAUCUGCUCCGAUGGCCGACGCCGGCGCCGCCAAGCCCGAGCCGGAGAAGAAGUCCUGGGCCGACGUCGAGGAGGAGGAGGAGGCCAAGGCCAAGGCGGAGGCGGAGGCCGAGCUCGCCGCCGCCGCCUCAUCCUCCUCCUCCGCCGCCCCCAUCGAGCCGGUGGUUGAGGCUCAGGCGAAGCAGAUCGAGGCGCUCUCGCUCUCCGUGCCGGACGACGACGGCGGCGCCGAGGGCCCGCCCCUGCUCGACGACUCCGACGACUCCCAAAUCCAAGCCGUACGCGCUCCGCUCUGCUCCCCGCCGCCGCCCCUGUCCAGUGGCCUCGAUGUCGGCCGGCUGAUUCGGUGCUUUGCUUCUCCAGGUGACCUCGGGCGGCACGGUGUACGAGUCGGCGACGACCUUCGAGGACGUGAAGCUCACCCCCGAGCUGCUCAAGGGGCUGCACGACGAGAUGGGGUUCAGCCGCCCCAGCAAGAUCCAGGCCAUCACACUCCCCAUGAUCCUCACGCCGCCCUACAAGGACCUCGUCGCGCAGGCGCACAACGGCUCCGGCAAGACCACCUGCUUCGUCCUCGGCAUGCUCAGCCGCGUCGACCCCAACCGCAAGGUCCCCCAGGCCAUCUGCAUCUGCCCCACCAGGGAGCUCGCGCAGCAGGUAGGUCUCUUGACUUGAUCCUCCAUACACUCCCACGCUCUGAUAUGUGCUCUCAUCUGGUUAUUGGAUACAACAAACUGCAGUGGGGAGCUUGAUUCUGCUAGUUUUAUACCCUGUAAUGUAAUGUACUGAUUUUGAUUGGUUGGUCUGUGCAGAAUAAAUCUGUGCUCAUGAGGAUGGGCAAGUUUACCGGCAUUACCUGUGCCUGUGCAAUCCCGUCGUCUCAGAAAGAAUAUAUGCCCAUCAGCAAAAUGGCUCCGGUGACCGAUCAGGUGGUGAUUGGCACUUCUGGGACGCUCACCAAGUGGAUUACCCAUAAGAAGCUUGCGACUAGGGAGAUCAAGAUUCUUGUGUUCGACGAGGCAGAUCAUAUGCUUGCCGAGGUACAGUUUAGUUCUCUUGUCUUACUGUUAGUUUAGUGUUAUAUUAAGACACAUGCUAACAGUGAAGCGAGAAGGAUAAUAAGGUCCAUACUCAUUACCAAGUGUUUUCCGGGCAACUUACUGUUAGUUUAGUGUUAAGACACACGCUAAUAGGGAAGGGAGAAGGAUAAUAAGGUCCAUACUCAUUACAGGAGUUAUUUCUCAGCUGCAAACAAUAAUGGCAUUGACAGCAAUAUUCAUUCGAGUCUUCAUGUCCUUGUAAGAAAUACAGUAGAACAGAUGUUUCUUAGCAGCAAACAAUGAGAGUGUUUUGAGGUUAAGUCCCUUAGACCUUCCCCUUCAUAGCCAUCAGAUGUACGUCGAUAACUAUCCGCAAGAAGCAAAUCAGUGGCACUUACUUGCUAGGCUUGCCACUAACUUGCUUCCUCUGGGUAGGUAACUUUCUUGUGGCUUAAUUGAAAUUGAAAUUGAAAUAACCUUAGUCAAGUAUGAGUCAGUGGAUCAGAGUAUGAAAGAAUGCGGCCUGUAUAGUUUGUACUCCUGAUAUCCUAGUGGGCAUUAAGGGGUGUCAUCAUGGUGCAGUCGUGUUAUGUUAGGUGUGAUGACCGAAAACUCUUGGCAUCUGUUUGGUCUGAGUGGAUAAAAGUAACAGAAAAAGCAUCUGUUUUCCAAGGACAUAAAUUAUUAUGGAGUUCCCAACAGUAGAAAUAUUCAUCUAACUGGAACCAAAAUUUGAGGCGCUCAAAAUUCCGACGUAGCGGGCUCAUGUAAACUAGUUGCUUUUAUGAUUGAAUGAGUCCAGUUUCUUAUCCUGUUGAAUGCUUCUUGCAGGAGGGCUUUAAAACUGAUUCUUUAAGGAUCAUGAAGGAUAUACAAAAUAGUGCUGGUGGCUGUCAGGUAACCGUUUUUUUAGUGAACUGACUACUUUUGACUGUGGCAGUAGAAUCACACACAACAGCUUGCACCUUGGUUACAUUUCAAAAUCAGAUGUGAGUAUUUUGAAUGUUGGGACUUGGUAGGCUAUUAAGGGAGACAACCUGUUCCUAUGCUUUGUAUGUGCUCAUGUCCUGCUUGUUGAACUUAUUAUCAAUUGCUAAUGAUAGGUAGAGGCUUUGGAAAAGGGUCAUUUUCUUUAUGCAGUGGGUUGUAUUCAAUUUGGAAGUUUUUUCGAUUGUGAUAUUCAUUUUCUUUAUUUUGGAAGGCUGCAUGUUCAUGCAUGGGGCAUCUGAAGUUGAUAAUUUUAGGAAUAGAAAGAAACAUAUACUAUUGUAUGUUCUAUGUAAUUGGUUAAUUGCACAUUUGGGCACUCCUAUUAUCAUAAUCUUAUACCCAAUCCGCUGAUGUUAUUGCCCUAGUUUUUUCAAGUUCAUCCAUUGAUGGUGUUGAUAUACUUUCAGUCCUCAACUAGCCUUGUCCAUGUGGUGCAUAAUCUUUUGUGAUGCUUGUAACUGUCAGUGUAAUUCCAUGGCUGUGCCAUUCAACUAGCCUUGGCUAUAUCAUUCCUAAAUUCUUGGUUAGAUGUGAUUGUUUCUGUUUUCAUAUGGUGCCUCUUUUACUUAUUUUAAUUCUAUUUAUAACAGGUGCUUCUCUUCUCUGCGACCUUCAACGAGAAAGUGAAGGAAUUUGUUACAAGGGUCAUUAAGGACGGAAACCAAAUAUUUGUGAAGAAGGAAGAUCUUACUUUGGAAAAAGUAAAGCAAUAUAAAGUCCGAGUCCCUGAUGAGGCGGCCAAAAUAGAGGUUAUAAGGGACAAGAUCUUUGAGUUUGGGCAAAAGGUUGGACAGGUUAUCAUCUUUGUGAGAACAAGAAAUAGUACUAAGAAUGUACAUAAUGCUUUGACAAAAGAGGACUAUGUGUGCUCCUCAAUUCAAGGAUCCCUUGACCAAGCAGAGAGGGAAAAAGUAAUUCAGGAAUUCAAAGAUGGGUACACCAAGGUUCUUAUAUCAACUGAUGUUCUUGCUCGUGGGUUUGACCAAGCACAGGUACUAUGCCCGCUGUGCUAUUUUGACACACCAGUAUAAAUUUUCCUCCUAACAUUCUUCCUUUGAAAGGUUAACCUGGUCAUCAACUACGACAUGCCAAUCAAGUAUAAUACGAGAGAUGAACCUGAUUAUGAGGUGUACCUGCACAGAAUUGGCAGAGCUGGGCGCUUUGGCCGAAAAGGUAAAUUUGUGUCUUAUCAGUCUAUGUACAUACACCACUGUAAAGCAUAUUUUGUCAACGCCGGGACAAACAUUAAUGCUGUUAUCAUUGAUAAGCAAGCACGCUACAUUUAGUUAGUCCUGAUGCCUGUUUGUCCUAGCCUAAGAUUGAACUUGUCGGCAGAACUAGUCUUCUGCAAGUAGGAUUUUGCAAUAGGAUUUUUAGCUUCCUUUAUUAGGAUAAGAUAGAACUGAUGUGACCAUUGUUUGUUGUUUAUUGGCGUCAUGUUUGUUCGUUUUCGUUUUUUCUUGAGAAGUUGUGAUCUCCUAUUUCUGUAGACUGUCAAUUGAUUUGCUUUGAUUGUUUUCAUGAUUUAUCAGUUUGAAACAUAAGUUUUGUUAUGCCAGUUUAUCAGCUAAUCGCUGUUGAGUAGAGUGCUUAUCUUGUGGCCUAACUGAAUUUUCGCUGGUGACAGGAGCUGUGUUCAACCUGCUAUGUGGUCAAACUGAUGAAGCUGUGAUGACAAAGAUCGAGGACUACUUCCAGCACAAAGUGCCUGAGGUCCCCAACUGGAAAAGCGAGGACAAUUUUGAGACUGCUCUUAAGGAUGCGGGUUUACUCGAGUAAACGUUUCCUGGCAGAAAUAGGUGGCGGCAAAUGCGCGCUUAUUUGAUUAUCUUGUCACCAGCACUUGGGUUCUUUCCUUUGCACCAGAUGCUUGUGUCUGGAGUGGAUUAUGCUGAGCUGAUGCGAUGAAUUCUAUGAGAGAGUGUGUCCAUUUUUAUGCUCGUUCGUUUGAGGUUUUCAAGUCUUCUUCACACACGCCCAUGUAAUUUCCUUUGAAAAUUCAUUUGUAUGUUACUUGUGCUACGAGAUGCGUACCGCAUGUGUACAGAUUGAUCGCAAUUGGCAGUUACAAGAUUCACUCCCAUGUGUGAGAAUGUACAUGAUUUCCUCCUUGUGUAACUCAAAACAGUUACAAGUUGUCGUGCUCGAUGACCUGCGCCCCCCUCCACUCCUCGCCGGGGCCAACGACGACGGGCACGAGGAUGGACGCCGGCCCGGUGCAGAGGAAGUAGUCGUUGCCGAACUUCUCGUACAAUCCUCCCGGGCUGCUCAGGUACAGGUCCUCGAACCCCAUCCUCACAAGCCUGAACCCGAGCCCGCUAGACUGUCCAAGCAAAUCACAAAGCAUAUCAUCACUGAGCAAUGCGGCUGACGAAUGAUGAUCAUUCAUGCACGAUGGAUGCAUCCCAAGGAGACGAACGAACCUGGUCGAUGGUGGUGAACUUGGAGGGCGCGGUGCUGUAGAUGCGCUUCUUCCUCUCCUCCGGCGGCGCCGCGUACACCCUGCUCACCUUCUUCUUGAGGAUGGUGUAGAGGUUCUCCUCCACGGUCCAGGCGCCCUGCCUCGGCUCCUCCCCGCCGCCGCCGCCAAACCACCCGGACUCCUCCCGCUUCAUGGCCUCGGCGGGGGUGAGCAGCGCGAACCCGGACGCCGGCGGCGGGUGGGAGCAGUAGGGGCAGCCGCGGAGCCCCUCCACGGCCGUGCCCCGCCGCUUGUCGAACUUGAUGUGGCUCAGCACGGCGCCCGUCAGCUCCACCGGCUUGGCCCCGUUGUUCUUGACGAUCACCGCCGUCGCCAUGCUCAGCGGGUACAGCGUCACCACGUACGACACCUCCAGCUUGGCCCCCUUGGCGCCGCCCACGCCGCACCCGAGCUCCACCUGCACCGCGUCGUACGAGUCCGAGUCCACGUCCGUCACGGACCACUCCGACGCGCCGAGCAGCGACGACGAGGAGGAGGCCUCGUUGAGCACCAGCCCCACGCCGCCCUUGACCGCGCCGGCGCCGGCCACGGUGUGCAGCAGCUCCCGGCAGCCGUCCCCGCCCUCCCAGGACACCUUGGGCCGGUACGACGUGACCAGCCCGUCGUUGAGCCGGAGCUGCAGCGAGCUGCCGUUGCGCACGCUCAGCUCCGCCGUGGGCGCGCCCGUGGCGUCCGUCCCGAACCUCAGGCCCUUCCGGCCGAAGGUCUCCUCCAGCUGCGACGUCUGCGUAGUAGCGGCGGGCACCGUCGACGCGACGCCCGAGGCUGCCCUCGCGGCCACGGUGGCUGGCCUGGGGGAGGCCGGGAGGUGGAGCGGGAGGAAGGAGGAGGCGGCCAUCGGAGCUAGCGCUGGAGCGAGUGAUAGCUAGCAAAGAAGGGGAAGGUGCUUCCCUUCCCCUUGAGGCUGGAGGCCGAUUGGGUGUCACUGCAGCCUCAUAUCAGCCGGCUUGAGGAUAGGUGGCUCUCUCGCUCCUUGUCCGUGUCCUCUCCUUGCUCUGCUGCGACCGGGAGCCUGCCUGCCUGUCUACGGUAGCAACAGCUUGGUACCGGAGGAAUGAGCAUGCAGAAAAGAACAUGAUCUUUGUUUUCGCAAUUCAGAAACAUGUACUCCCUCUCUUCCUAAAUAUAAGUCUUUUUAGGGAUUUUACUAUGGACUACAUAGGAUAUACUCCCUCCGUAAACUAAUAUAAGAGCGUUUAGAUCACUACUUUAGUGAUCUAAACACUCUUAUAUUAGUUUACAGAGGGAGUAGUUCAGAGUGCUGAUUCACCCACUUUGCUCUGUAUGUUGUUUUUUAUUGGAAUCUCUAGAAAAAAUUAUAUUUAGAAACAGAGGGAGUAUGUUUCAGCUUUUAUUCAGAGGGACUCUGAGGCCGAUGCUAAUUCAUGAAUGUUCGCGUUGAUAGGAGUUUACCUAUAGGAACGGAUCUCAAGUGAGAGUUCGACAAGUAUAUGUACACGUUCGCAACAACAACAACAAAAAGACAAGUAUAUGUACAGUGAUAGACUGUAUACAAUAUCAUGAUGUUGUAGAUACUACUACAUUAAGGCGUUAAAACAGAACUGUACGUACAAGUCAGGAUGGCCGAGUGGUCUAAGGCGCCAGACAUAAACCAGGACUAAAGGGUCAAUAUAUAGUUCCGGUUUGUAUCACAAACGGGACUAAAGGGCAAUUUUCAAACUCUACCUCCCCUCCUCAUUGUCUUUUCUGUUUUAAAAAAAAACAAAAGAAAAAUGAUAAAAAUUUCAAAAAUUAAAAUCCUUUGAGAUGUAGUUAUGUUUCUACAUCUAGUAGUUAGGGAAAUUUUAAAACAUAAAUUUUGACAUGGUUUGCAAAAAAGUGUUAUGAAAAAGUAAAACGACCAUAUAUUUUGCAUACGAUGUCAAAAAAACGCAUAAUAUAUAAAAAAAAUCAGCACGAAAAUCCGCAUCCGAUUUCGACGGCCAUAGGUCGUUUUGCACAUUUUUAGAAUCCUCAAAUUCUUAAAGGAAAAAAAGUUAUGCUCAAAUUUCAGUUUUCUGAAUUUUGUUAAAUCUGGUCAAACUGUGGUCAAGCUACUUAUUCAAGAAAUAUUAGUGUUACUAAAUAAUUAUUACAGUUUUUUUUGAAUUUUGGUCAAACUAUGGUCAAAUUUGGUCAAACUAUGCUCAAACUACUUAUUCAAGAAAUAUUAGUGUUACUAAAUAAUUAAUGUUUUUAGAAUAAUACUCUCAAACUCAAAUGGUGAAACGUGUGACUUCAUGCUCAAACUAAACUCCUGAGGGUUAAUAGGAUUGACAGCUUACUAUUGUCAGGUAAAUAACAAGUGCAGACUUGGAAAUUAGGGAGAAUAGAACUGGGAAGUUAAGCAUGGUCGGACUGGAGUAGUGAGAGGAUGGGUGACCGGUCGGGAAGUUAGACGAUUUGAAAUGAUGAGAGAUGAUUAGAGAUUAAAUCAUCAAAUAAUUCAGAAAUUAGAAAAUUAGAAAAAAAAAGUCAUUUUUUUCAAAAAUAAAUAAAAAAACUUUUAGUCACGGUUGGUGUUACCAACCGAGACUAAAGGUCCCCCAGCCCCCCGGCGCGGGCUCAGGCCAUGUGGUGGGCCAUUAGUGCCGGUUCGUGCUGAACCGGGACUAAAGGGGGGCUUUAGUCCCCACCCUUUAGUGCCGGUUUCAGAACCGGCACUAAAAGGGUCUUACGAGACGGGCUACAAAAAUGAAAGACAAGUACGGAAAUUCACUGGCGUGGACGAGCUCGCCUGCUCACUUUAUCGCCAAGCGUCGAUCGCUCUGGGAGGUGGGAUCGGUGCGGUAUUCACGCGGCUUAUUUAAUGUGUGGGUUGGACGGGAGACUUGACAGAUGUACGGUGUGUACAGUCGAACUUCCAGGAACUAGCGACGGCGGCAAACAGCAUCGCAACGGUGGGAGCCAGGGAAAGACGGCAUGUGGGUCGGCCCACCAACUGCAUUUAUUCCGCCAGAGGCAGGCGCGGGAUGUUUCAAUCGAUCCCCAAGUCGAAAUCAAGAUAGCUCGGCAGGGGCAGAACGCCGGCGAGCGUUUCUGCAAGUACCGGAAUCACAAUGUAAAGCGGUUUUGUUUGGAGAAUUUUUGUUGCAUUAUUCUUCUGAUCUGCUCAAGACCUCACUUUUCUUCGUCUCUUUUCUUUGAAUCAACGAUAGCCAUCAGCUGGUGGAUGCGACUUCUAUGUGGCAGCAAGCCUACGCCGACUACCUCGCCUCUCUUGGCCCAGCUACGUCCAGGAGCAAGUCGGCCAAGCGGUGGGAGCUCAAGGUCUGCAGCCGCCGCACGCAUCGGAUGGGCAGCAGAACGUCGUGCCCGAGGGUUCCCAGGUCGCAUCUUCCGUCAGCGCCGCCGCAGGGGACAUGGUCGCUGCGCCCCCAAUUACAGGGCGCCAGGGAACCAUUGCUGUCGACGCUUCGUCCAUAAAUCUGGUGGCAUCCGUCGCUAAUCUCGUGAUUGGCGUGGCCAAUCUUAUACUGCUUGUGGCCGCGAUUAUGAUGCGCGUGCUGAAUUAGGUGUGAGGAUUUAACUGGAGUAUCAUGUAGUAGCUCGUAGUAAAUGGCGUAUGUACUGUCCCUCUAAAUUGAGUUUUAUGGUGUGUGUGUGUGUGUGUGUGUGUUUAGCGGUCAAAGUAGCAAAGUGCGUGGAAGCAGUCAUCUACUCCAGGAUGUACAUACAGUAGGCCUUCUGAAUCUUUUGGAUGGGCAGACCGGUGACAUAAUUUUUUGUUACAAUUACACACAAACAAUGUUGUUUUUUCACUGUGGUUUUGUGGUUUCAAGGAUAAAUAUGGAUAUCUGACAAAUCUAGAUUAAAUGUAUUUUUAGUCAAUAUUGUUUUCCAAAAUAGAAAUGAAAAACAUUUUUUUUGGAUUUUGUCAUUUUGCCUAUCUUUUCCAGGUGCAUAUCAAUGAGCCCAAGCUUAGAAUUGGCCGGUCAUUUUAAUUUUUCGGACGGUAGUCUGGCGUGAUUUUUUCUAGUCGAAUUUGAAGAAUGUCGACUUUUACUGUGUUUUUGUGUUGUACAGUCACAGACGCCCUGAUAAAUGUCAGAAGUAGACGGCUGAUCUAUUAUUAGUCUUGCAAAUCUUGCGACCUCUUUUCAGAUGGAGCGUCAGACACUACUCUCAUGGGUUGCCAGUUGCUAGGCCCAGCUGAAAUACAAGAGAAAGUUUGCCACUGAUCACGACAUUGGUUAUAGAGAUGCAGAUAGACGGCAAUGGUGCUAGUGAGUGUGUAAAUGCUAAAUGACAACCUCCCAGCUCGUGACUGUAAUGUAGCAUACAAACUAUAAAGACAGUUUUGCUAAUUGUACCUUCGGAUGGAGGAGGCGCAUCAGCAAGAGCAGUUGCAAGUAUGUUUGGGAUUUCCAUUUGCUGCUGGAGAUGUGAUCUGGGCAGGGCAGGUGCCUGUGGCAACUGCAUGUUUAUUCAGAAGUUUCAGCUAUAUGCAAGGCUAGAUUCAUCAUCAGAUUAUACUAUUUGCAGACAUUUUUAGUACUUUCACACAGGUGCGAGACAUUUGUCCAUGUAAAUUUUCAGGCGUACUGAAUUUAGGUGUUGAGUACAUAUUGCCAUGUUUUUAAAAAGUUUUUUUGUUUGUUUCAGGGGUGUUCAAAGCUAAAGAUAAGGCAAUACAAGGUUUACCCGCUGCCAACAAGUCGAUGCCAUGUGUUGUUUUGCAUUCAGCUGCUCUUGGACUUGCAUCCCGGAGUGGUCCAUUAUUGCCCGUGUCAGGAACAAGAUUGUCUGCCAAGAUAGGAAUACAAGUUUGGGCUUUUGCAAGUCAAUUGGUUGAUUCAUUUUUGCAGUGUGAUUCCCAUCGACAGCAUGCUCAUCGAGUGUGUUACGAUGACUGGUAUUCUCACGGAAGGAGAAGUAGUGGUUCCAGCUGAUGUUUCCAUCGUUGCUGCAUGCACAGCACCACCAUCAUCAUUGUUUACUGCGGGGCCAUCUAAGCAAAAGCCAGGCCAGCAAGUUAGCAAAAAACAGUUGAAAUGGUAUAAUCACUAUAUUUUUGAGUGUUGAUAAUCUAAGGUACCUGCACACUGACGAUCAAGACGAGCACAAAUGGCACGUUGAGAGCGACUAAUAGUACUGUGCUCUGCUUGCUCCUGUUGACCAUAACAGAUUCCGUAUGCGGUUGUCUUCAUCUGGCUGCACUCUGUAGUACAAACCCAGAAUCUUUGGAUCCCAGCUCAGCAAAAACUUCCAUUGUCUUCCUGACAUCAUCAUCCGCCUGACCUCGGCUGAUUUCUCAACAAAGCCCCCUUAACGCUCUUUUGCUGAAAGGCACAUUGCUCAUUGAACCAAAGAAACUAUCAAUAAUGUUGUACACUUUGCUGAUGCUGAUAUUAUUUUCACGGAGCUGCUUGCCAAGGUCACGUGUAUAUAUGUCGAUAUGUUUGUGCGAGGGCCAGUAUAGUUUCUCACCACACUUAUCUGUAAGAGAGUGAUUGUGGAAUGUCAUGUGCUCACUUAUGUACCAUCCAAUGUCCUUUGAACGGAGUAACCGUAUCAUUGUUGGGCACCUACAUCGGUAAGACCGGGUGUUAUUUCUUUCCGGGACCCCCUGCAAAAUAUUUUGUGAGAAAUAACAAUAUGUGAGUUUCGUUUUUAUGGUCACAAGCAUCACUCUCAUACAUAUGAUGGUGAAUAAAAAAAUGAUACUAACCGAGCAGCUGCAAACUAUAUCCUGCAUACAUUUUAUUCUCUCGACGUUCAGUCGCAAACUAUCUCCGGAGUAGAUACUUGAGAUCAAUCUUUUUUCAAAAUAAAAAUAUGAACCAUGUGCAUUUUUUUGUUAAUAUUAUUCCCGGCUAACUAAAUAGAUAUUUUUAGAUGCUAGUACAUGUCACCCAUCACUCCUAUGGUAAUAGUGUCAUAUACCAAUUGUAGAAAGUUGGCAGCAUAAAUGGUCAAAAAAAUAUGUAUUUUCCUAUGUAUGUAAUUUGCACAUUUACUUUUUUUUUCCUUUUGUCUACAUGCAUUAUACUUGCACAGUGCUAUUCUUUGUCACUUUUGUUGCUUCAGAGAUGAAAUUUCCAAACUAUUCGAAUGUGUUAGUCUGAAUUCCCUAGGUUCGUACUAGCAUCUCACAUGAAGGAAUGUUUGUUUUGUAGCCGCACCUCCAUUUACGCAAUCGCCACCAUAAUUCCAUAAUGAGUUAGACCAAGACACAAAGGGUGGAUUCCAUAUUGUGUCUCCAUCAGGGAAGCCAUGAAAAAUAUCUUCACUGUGAGUGCAUCGCCCAUCACCAAUGCUGGAUUCAGCGGCCAUGCAUACCAGAGUUUGGUUGCCUUCGCCGUCCAGCAAGGAUUCGGCGGCCGCGAGAUCUGACAGCGGCCAACACCGGAAACAAAAAGCGGCGGCAGCAAAACAUAAGAGUACCUGUUAACCCGAUCAGAUAGGAACUCGAAUCCAUCGCCUCCGGCCUCCGCCGUCGCCAUAGCUCUGAGCUCUCACCUCCCACCUCCGCCAUCGCCAUAGCUCUGAGCUCCUCGCCUCGUGCGGCGCCGGAAAGGAUAGAUUUGUUUUUUUUCCUCCUCAGCGUCGCCUGUGGGGAUUUUUGUUUUUCCUUCGUGGGCUGUUUGCGCGUCGGCCCGUAGCUGACGACAAUCGUUAUGUACAGCCAUCCGAGACCUGUACCAACGGAACAAAUGCACGAUCGACCGUCCACCCAGCGUUAGGUUACACGGAGCCGUCGCCGUAUGACACUGUUGGACAGGGCGUAUCCGUCGUCCCUCUAUACGAUCGCAUUCGAUACAAGCUGGAACGCGUCGCUGUUCGAUUGGUAGGCGCAACGGGAGCAGGCGAGCUCGUCCAUACCAUCGCCGCUCUCGAGACAAGUAUAUGUACAGUGAUGCACUGUAUACAAUAUUAUGAUGUUGUAGUUAUGCUACAUUAAGAUAUUACAACCGAACUGUACGUACAAGUCAGGAUGGCCGAGUGGUCUAAGGCGCCAGACUCAAGUUCUGGUCCUCUAACGAGGGCGUGGGUUCAAACCCCACUUCUGACAAUUGUUUUUGCUUUUUUCCUUGCUUACUUUUUUCCUUGCUUAAAUUUACUUCAACAAUUACAUCAAACCCCACUUCCGACAAUUGUUUUUGCUUUUUUCCUUGCUUAAAUUUUUGCUUUUUUCCUUGCUUAAAUUUACUUCAACAAUUACAUCAAACCCCACUUCCGACAAUUAUUUUUGCUUUUUUCCUUGCUUAAAUUUACUUCAACAAUUACAUCACUUUUUCUGACAAAAUUUUCUCUUUCGCGAGAUUCUUCAGGCUAUCCUAAGGCUGGCAGAGGAGAAGAAACCGCUGACAAUAGCUACUUUGGCAACGGUGGACUGAACGUAAUCGGGGCAACCACGGUGAGAAACGGCUGGAGACUGACGCAUUCCAAUACUGUCCGGAGCCAUGUUCAGUGAAUGAUCUGACUGACGCCCUACAUGCGGAGGCCUUGGCCCUCUCCCGUGCAAUUACUUGGGCGAUCAGAUUGGAGUUGGCCGGGCGCUGUUCGGAACCGACAGUACCACUCUUCAAGAUGCGGUGACCUCGAGCUCUUAUUAUGAAUACGCACCGCUGGGUCAUCUGUUCCGUGGCAUCAAGUUUAGAUCAAGUACCAAGUUCAUUCGGACUGAGAUUGUACAUGUUGGACGUAGCUGUAAUAAGCCAACGCAUGUGCUGGCCGCCAUGGGUGCAGGGUUAGCUGAUGCUGAAGCGUGCUUGUGGCUUGAUAGUUUCCUGUCGAUGUAACCCGUGCUGUAACCGGCAUUUUUGCCGUGCCCGAGAUGGAACACAAGUGUUUCCAUUUCAACAACAAAAACCGGCAUUUUUGUCGUGCCCGAGAUGGAAUACAAGUGUUUCACAUUUAUCUGCACGUCGCUCUUCCCUGCACUCUACUCCCUCCGUCUCAAAAUAUAUGUCUCAACUUUGUACUAACUUUAAUACAAAUAUUAAAUUAUACUGAAGUUAAGACAUAAGUAUCAGAUAGAAUUUUACCCUUGAUUGAACCACGUAUCCCUCUCAUCCAGGAAAAAUGUGAUCAGGGAGGCGACCAACUCCUCCUGCGCUUUGCCGGCAAGGCUGUGGGUUCUCUUGCCCUCCAAUCACCGCUCCGAUGAUGGCUCUCUGCCUCUAGUGCAGGUAGGGUUAGGUUUAGUGUGUUCCACAACGGCGUUUGGAUGACAGUGAUGCCGGCGUUUGGAAUGAAAAUUUCUCGAGCUCAACCCCAUCUCACGACAUCUUCAGUGGUGAAAUCGAGGGGUAUGUGUGAACCUUAUUCCAUCGUUUCCUUGGUGCGAUGGAUCUAAUGGUGUUUGUUGUGUGCAUGGCGGAUCUCAUCUCAUGUGGUGUCGUCUUUGUUUGGGGGAAGGUAAAGGUCCAAGAACAAGGUUCGAGGCUCGUGGGUGGCGGCUCUAGCAUUCUACCUCGACGACAUGCGGCUAACCUGGGUUUCAAGGAGCACGGAGAUGAUCCCCAGUCAACGAGCCACAAUGACAAUGGCCUUUCCUGCGGCAGUCCUCUUCUUUGGCUCACAAAGCCCUCAUGGGCAGUGGUUCUUCUUCGUCUCCGAAGACGGCAAGUGGUGAGGAUGGCGUUUGCAGAAAUUUGCUUUAAUGGAGUUCUCUACCAAAUGUUCCUGGACAUGCGUCCUCUCUCUCUCUCUCUCUGGGUUUUUGCGAUUCCGUGUUGUAAUUUGACAUACGUUUAAUGGUGUGCGAAAUUUCAAAAAAAAAAAACACGAGACGCCACCUUAACAAAUCCAUUUAUUUGCCUGCCAACAAUCCGGCCGGCCUCCAAACGAACGGAUCAGCAGAGCAGAGCAGCANNNNNNNNNNNNNNNNNNNNNNNNNNNNNNNNNNNNNNNNNNNNNNNNNNNNNNNNNNNNNNNNNNNNNNNNNNNNNNNNNNNNNNNNNNNNNNNNNNNNNNNNNNNNNNNNNNNNNNNNNNNNNNNNNNNNNNNNNNNNNNNNNNNNNNNNNNNNNNNNNNNNNNNNNNNNNNNNNNNNNNNNNNNNNNNNNNNNNNNNNNNNNNNNNNNNNNNNNNNNNNNNNNNNNNNNNNNNNNNNNNNNNNNNNNNNNNNNNNNNNNNNNNNNNNNNNNNNNNNNNNNNNNNNNNNNNNNNNNNNNNNNNNNNNNNNNNNNNNNNNNNNNNNNNNNNNNNNNNNNNNGCAGAGCAGCAUGAUCGUCUCUACUUGCGCGCCAUUGCCUUGGCGGUGGACACGUACCUGUCCUUCCUGGCAGCCAGCGCGGCGAGCAGCGCGCCCCUGUCACGCAGGCACCCCCGCACGGCCUCGUCCGCGACGUACUCCCUCGCCCACCGGCACAGCGCCGGGUGCUCCUCCUCGGUGAGCAGGGUCACCCCGGCCAUCUCCUCGAACACCCCCAGCCAGUGCGCGAGCCCGCUGGCGGCGAUGUCGAGGAAGCCGACGCGGUCGCCGCCGAAGAACCUCCUCCCGCCGAGCUGCGCCUCCAGGAGCGUCAGGUUCCGCUUCGUCUCCCUCGCCGCCGCCUCCCGCGCCUCGCCCUCCCCCCACAGCGCCACCCACGUGCACACCCCGCACUUGUCGUCGAUGAAGCGGGCCCAGAAGCGGGCGGCGGCGCGGUCGAGUGGGUCGGCCGGCAGGAGCGCGGGGCCACGGGGGAAGGCCUCGUCCACGUACUCGACGAUGACGAGCGACUCGCAGAGGGCCGGCCGGCGGCCGCCGUGGAGGAGCACCGGCACCUUGUGGUGGACGGGGUUGUGCUCCUGCAGCAGGUCGCUCUUGCUGUUGAGGUCCUCCUGGAUGAACUCGUAGGGGACGCCCUUGAGCCGCAGGGCCACCUCGACGCGGUGCACGGCCGGGCUGCCGAAGGACCCGAUGAGCUUAGCCUCUUCUUCAGACAUCUUAGUCUACUGCUCCGUCCUGAUUUCUCCGGUCGAGUUGGACCCCCUGAAUAUAUUGUUUCCGAGAAACUUCCUCGUAGCUUCGUGCUUCCAGAGAUAACUAUUGCCGAUAUGUUUAGUUUGUCGAAACGGAGGUAAGUUUUAACCUCAUCGAUUAAUUAAGCAGUAGAGAAUUGCCUGCUUAGUUUAUGAUAUCUUCUCUUCUCCCGCCACUGAAAGCGACCUACCGGAAGUCUUAAUCUUUCAGCUAUAAACAAAUAACAAGCGAUUGUUACCUAGCUAGUAGUAGUAGUAUGUGUUUAGUGAGGUACAAUUUUUGGUACUUCUUGUUUUGGGUGCAAGGGUAGCCUCUCCAACCAAGCUUUAGAUCUUCGAAGAGGUCAAAACAAGAGGGGAGGGAGGUAUAUACCCUACACUCGUUACAACCAUGUGAGACAAGGUGCAUUUUAGUCCAGGAAUUGAUCAACAAAGAUCCCAAUUUCCCUGGACAAUAAAAAACUGAACCAUGGAGUGGUGUUGUGCAUCCUUCAGUGCAAGCAGUGACACCACCAUGACACAUAGCAGCUAGUGAUCGUUCCAAAUCCUUUUUAAGCUGAGCUCGACACCUCUCUAGGAUACAAACCAGUGACCCACUGACAAGGACAUUUAUUCACAGACCACUCACCAAGCAACCAAAAACAGGCAUCAAAAUUCUGAAGCAUAUCAAGUGGACAAGCAGUGAGGCAACAUAGCACUCAACCAAGCACACCACUGCUUUUCUUCCCCCAAACGGAACCACAAGCAAAGCACAGAUGCAACGGCCUCCAAAAGAAGCCACACCUUUGCCUUUGCCCAGUCAGCUUCGCACCAUCUAUCAUUCCAUCUAGUGGAGUGGAGCACCCAAAACGGAGGCCUCCACAUCAGCAGAUACGAAACCAAAGCAAAGAUUUCUGUUGUAAUAUAAUCUUAAUAAGACGCGAAAACAGCUCCAAUCUAGAACCCACUUUCAGAUCCACUCACCCAACACUCGAACACAACACAUAGUACUUACUCAAACACCACCAAAUACCGAAAACAGACGCGACACAACCACGCCAGGCCACCGGGUACGGCGGCCUGGCGACACUACCUUUGUCUUGCCACAGGUUCUCUUUUCUCUUUUUCUGGUGAUUCCGAUGAUACCACUAUAGGAGGAGUCUUUAGAGCUAAGCAAACUGAAAUACGGAUAAUACGACGAUGACAGGAGAAAAAGAGAGCUAGGGAAUAAACCUAACUAUCCAACCCGCUUUCCAGCCACCUUUGGUGAUCGGUACUUGGGACCCUGCAUGUCUCGCCUGGUUCGCCAGCACCGUCCGUUUGUUCCUCAUGGCUAGCUGGGAGGAUCAGGUAUGCGAUCAAGCAGCUACACCGGUCUUGACAGCACCGUUGGCGACGACAGGCUUUUUCUCGGUGGCCACAGGCUUCUUCUCGGCCGCUGCUGUUUGGGCCACCUUCGCCGCGUAGGUCACAGCUGGAGGAGCAGCGGCAGCGGCUUUCUCUGCCGGAACCUUCGCAUCCCC
rnacentral:lncRNA from 1 species